rnacentral:misc_RNA from 1 species
AACAUCUCAACUCUCACGGCGCUUGCGUCGAGAGGAUUGGAUUUGAGCGAUCCCGACUCCUUCGUGAGAAAGAGGAGGGUCGCUUGAAAUGCAGGUGCAGCAGGACAUUCUUCUGAGCUAAAAGCAUAUCUAUUUAGUCCCGUCAAACGGAUUAUUACUUUUGCUUCAGCUAACAUAAAGGUCGAAUGAACCAAAUCGCUGAUUGCAGGAAAACUCGUUCGUAACAGAACUUGUGAAC